AUAAUCUUGAUAGAGAAAAAGAGAGAUUAUAUUUAUAUGAAAGCAAUCAAGUAUAAACAGGCACUUGAUAAACUACUUGACUACUUUGCUUAUAUAAAAUUGAACCAUAUUAGUGUGUUAAAUUUCUUGGCAUAAAAAAGUGGAGUAUAAUAACAACUUAGAAAUUACCAAAGAGAUAUUGACUAGUGUUGUGGGAUGG
rnacentral:lncRNA from 1 species